AAUGCAGACCACCUUAUCGUCCAUGCGUUGGUAUGGGAGGAAAGUCCGGACACCACAGAGAAGCAUAGCGGGUAACGCCCGUCGGUUCCAAUAUCGGGAUUAGGACAAGUGCAACAGAAAGUAUGUACAGGUAAUGCUGUAGUGAAACCAGGUAAACUCUAUGCGGUGAAAUUUCAAGUAUAUCGGCAUUUAAGGGUUCUCGCCCGUUGUCGAAGGGUAGAAAGAUGGAGUGCGUGAGUAAUUACGUGCCUAGAUAAAUGAUAAGGCUCCGAUUUAUCGGAGACAGAAUCCGGCUUAUAGGUCUGCAUUUUUU
rnacentral:RNase_P_RNA from 1 species